CUCUAGCUACAACCGCUCAAAAAAGGUAUUAAAUGUACAAUGUACUGCCUUAGCUGGCGAGUCUAAGAAUAAGU
rfam:Eggerthia catenaformis OT 569 = DSM 20559 genomic scaffold acdBZ-supercont1.4, whole genome shotgun sequence.